rnacentral:rRNA from 1 species
UACGAAGGGGACUAGCGUUGCUCGGAAUCACUGGGCGUAAAGCGCACGUAGGCGGAUUGCUAAGUCAGGGGUGAAAUCCUGGAGCUCAACUCCAGAACUGCCUUUGAUACUGGCGAUCUUGAGUCCGGGAGAGGUGAGUGGAACUGCGAGUGUAGAGGUGAAAUUCGUAGAUAUUCGCAAGAACACCAGUGGCGAAGGCGGCUCACUGGCCCGGUACUGACGCUGAGGUGCGAAAGCGUGGGGAGCAAACAGGG